rnacentral:rRNA from 1 species
UGUGGCGCACGGGUGCGUAACGCGUGGGAAUCUGCCUUUUGCUUCGGAAUAACAGUUAGAAAUGACUGCUAAUACCGGAUGAUGUCUUCGGACCAAAGAUUUAUCGGCAAGAGAUGAGCCCGCGUAGGAUUAGGUAGUUGGUGGGGUAAAGGCCUACCAAGCCGACGAUCCUUAGCUGGUCUGAGAGGAUGAUCAGCCACACUGGGACUGAGACACGGCCCAGACUCCUACGGGAUGCAGCAGUGGGGAAUAUUGGACAAUGGGGGCAACCCUGAUCCAGCAAUGCCGCGUGAGUGAUGAAGGCCUUAGGGUUGUAAAGCUCUUUUACCCGGGAUGAUAAUGACAGUACCGGGAGAAUAAGCUCCGGCUAACUCCGUGCCAGCAGCCGCGGUAAUACGGAGGGAGCUAGCGUUGUUCGGAAUUACUGGGCGUAAAGCGCACGUAGGCGGUUACUCAAGUCAGAGGUGAAAGCCCGGGGCUCAACCCCGGAACUGCCUUUGAAACUAGGUAGCUAGAAUCCUGGAGAGGUGAGUGGAAUUCCGAGUGUAGAGGUGAAAUUCGUAGAUAUUCGGAAGAACACCAGUGGCGAAGGCGACUCUCUGGUCUGUAACUGACGCUGAGGCGCGAAAGCGUGGGGAGCGAACAGGAUUAGAUACCCUGGUA